CCCGCACAAGCGGUGGAGCAUGUGGUUUAAUUCGACGCAACGCGAAGAACCUUACCAGCUCUUGACAUGUCAGGUCGGUUUCCAGAGAUGGAUUCCUCCCAGCAAUGGGCCUGAACACAGGUGCUGCAUGGCUGUCGUCAGCUCGUGUCGUGAGAUGUCGGGUUAAGUCCCAUAACGAGCGAAACCCUUACCCUUAGUUGCUACGCGUCAUGGCGAGGACUCUAGGGGGACUGCCGGUGUCAAACCGGAGGAAGGCGGGGAUGACGUCAAGUCCUCAUGGCCUUUACGUCUAGGGCUGCACACGUGCUACAAUGGCGUGAACAAAGGGAAGCAAAAGCGCGAGCUCAAGCAAAUCCCAAAAAACACGCCCCAGUUCAGAUCGAGGGCUGCAACUCGCCCUCGUGAAGUUGGAAUCGCUAGUAAUCGCAGGUCAGCAACACUGCGGUGAAUGUGUUCCUGAGCCUU
rnacentral:rRNA from 1 species